AGCGGCGAACGGUUGAGUAACACGUAGGCAACCUGCCCCGAAGUCGGGAAUAACUCAUCGAAAGGUGGGCUAAUACCGGAUGUGGACGCCGAUCGCCUGGUCGGUGCUCUAAAGGUUUCGAUCGCUUCGGGAUGGGCCUGCGGCCUAUCAGCUUGUUGGUGGGGUAACGGCCUACCAAGGCGACGACGGGUAGCUGGUCUGAGAGGAUGGUCAGCCAGACAGGGACUGAGACACGGCCCUGACUCCUUUGGGGGGCAGCAAUGAGGGAUAUUGCACAAUGGGGGCAACCCUGAUGCAGCGACGCCGCGUGGGUGACGAAGUCCUUCGGGAUGUAAAGCCCUUUUGCCGGGGAAGAGAUGGACGGUACCCGGCGAAUAAGCCCCGGCUAACUACGUGCCAGCAGCCGCGGUAAUACGUAAGGGGGCGAGCGUUGUCCGGAUUUACUGGGCGUAAAGCGCGUGUAGGCGGCGACUUAAGUCGGGUGUGAAAGCCCGGGGCUCAACCCCGGAGUGCCGCUCGAGACUGGGUCGCUUGAGGACGGAAGAGGGGCGUGGAAUUCCUGGUGUAGCGGUGACAUGCGUAGAGAUCAGGAGGAACACCG
rnacentral:rRNA from 1 species